GGCAGUGUGAUGUAGUGGUUUGAGUACUGGACUAUGACUUUGGAGACCAGGGUUCAAAUCUCCACUCAGCCA
rnacentral:tRNA from 1 species